rnacentral:rRNA from 1 species
CGGAGGUGGCAAGCGUUACUCGGAAUCAUUGGGUGUAAAGGGCAAGUAGGCGGUCUAAUAAGUGAGGGGUGAAAUCCUGCGACUCAAUCGCAGAACUGCCUUUCAAACUGCUAGACUUGAGGUAGGAAGAGGGAAGUGGAAUUUGCGGUGUAAGGGUGAAAUCUGUAGAUAUCGCAAAGAACACCAGCGGCGAAGGCGGCUUCCUGGUCCUUACCUGACGCUGAAUUGCGAAAGCUAGGGGAGCAAACAGAAUUAGAUACUCUGGUAGUCCUAGCCGUAAACGAUGAGCACUAGGUGUUGGGUCGCGAGACUCAGCGCCGUCGCUAACGCAUUAAGUGCUCCACCUGGGGACUACGAUCGCAAGGUUA